rnacentral:precursor_RNA from 15 species
GAAUCUAUACUUGAUUAAGACCCAGGGGACUUUGCACUUUAGUUUUGAUACUGUAUGAUGGAAUCCAGUACAAAAUUUUAGUGCGAAGCUCAUGGCGCUUCAUUUUGACAAAUACAGAGU